AAAAUUAAAAACUAAAAAUAAUUGCUAAUAACUUAAACAAUCACUCAUCCAUAAAACAAGCAAAACACUAUAAAUUACAAUACUAAACAACUUCAAAAAUACAAACCAAAAAUAUCAUUAAAAUUCUUUCUAUACAAUCACAAAAAUGAGCAUACAACAUGAAUUACCUAUAGAAUUAUUGCUCGAAAUCUAAUACCAUAUAUAAUAGCAGAAGCCUUUAAAGAGGUGCUGCCACAUUAGGAAAAAAGACCGCCUAAAAUUCUGACACAUAUAAAUUAAAAAGUGAUAAAUUAUGUUAUUUGACAAUUUGCACACCGUUUAAAAGCUUCUCAUUAUAAUUAACAAAAAAAUAACUGGUUUAAAUGAAAGGACACACGGAAAUAGAAUAGAGAGGCGAUGAGAGAGAGAGAGAGAGAGAGAGAGAGAGAGAGAGGUGAUGAGGAAACAGAGAUGAGAAGGAGACAGAGUUCAUAUGGCCGGCCGGCUAUCACCAUCAUCUUCCCACCACCGUUCGUCCCUUGCUGGACUUAGGCUACCGGAACCGGCACUGGUAACCUAAAGUUGCACGCAUGAUUUGAGAUACGGACAUAGAGAGAGAACUGUCACUGGGUAUUUAUAAUUGGUUUUGGACAAUCAAUUUUAGGAGUCCAAUAGUUCGAGAACGAUAGAGAGAGAGUUGGUUAGACACAGGGUGCAGAGAGAUCGACCAAUUAGAGAUAAGUUUUGUCUUUCUGGUUUUUAAAUUGAUUUUUGUCUAUUUGGUAUGGUGUACGAGGAUGACUAUGUGCUAGACUUUUGGGUUUGUUCUGAUUUUGGUUUUGAAGGCCUACAAGACAUUUGCAAUGGUAGGAAGGUGAUAAAAUUUUGGGAGGGACAAGUGAGCUUGCAGGCGGGACAUGGUUGGUUUGUAAUUUGUACCAAGGAUGGGAGUGUGGCUUUUCUCAUAAAUGUCAGGGAAGAUUGGUCUCUGACAGAGGACAAGAGAAGAGGGGACUUCCCAGUUUUGUUCUUGUUGGUGUUUUUAUUUUUAAAUCAACUUUUGUAUUGCCUCACACUCUAUCUACAUAAUUACCAAGUUCAGGUACUUCAAUUUCUCUUUUUUAUUUUUGGUUAAUGUCAUAUGAUAUGAUUUGCUGUAGCAGUUUUUUUGGUUGUUAGUGUGUGAAUUGUAUUAGCAAAUCAAUGAGCAUGACUGCUGUUAAGUUGGCUGGUUUUGCAUGUUAGACCAAGUGUUGUGCUUAAAACUGAUAAAGACGUUCAAAGAUCUAAAUAAAAAAUUUCUGCUAAUUUACUAUAUAAAAAUAAAUAAAUAAAUAACUGCAAAUGUGCUAUAUUCAUAGAUCUUUGCAUAUAAUCAUAGAGUGAAUUAUGUCUUUUUGGAGGAACAAUUAAAUUGAAGCUCACUUAUUUCAAAAAUUUGAUGUUUUCUAUCUUGCAAUAGGUUUUCUUAUAUAAAGGAUAUCUAUCAGAUGAGCAGUGUGACUAUCUUACCACUUUGGUACACCUUUUAAUUUUUGAAUUGAUUCAAAAAUAUGUUUAGUCCUUAAAUAUAAAUAGAUGUUCUGGUUCUGCCGACUGAAUAUUCCAGUGACUAAAGUCUUAGUAAUUUAUAUUUAUAAUUAUUGGUUAUUUAUUCCUUAAGCUAUUGGCAUAUCUGGCUGUAUUGUAAUGAGCUAGAAAAUUGUUUUUCCUAACAAAAUUGAAGUCAUGGAAGCCUUGGCUGCUAGAAGGUCCGUGGUGUUAUUUUAGAUACUAUGGAUGUGACUUAAGCUAGAAGGUCAAAAACACAUUUGAUUUUGUACGAGAUAAAAGUUAAUGGAUCUCAAGUUGAGAUGUGCACCAAAAGUCAAUCAAAUGACGGAAAUCUAUUCAAAGUUCCUAUUUCAUAUGAACCUGGUAUCUCUAGCCUGCAAAGUUAUAAGCAAGGGGAUGCUACUGGAACAGCUGCAAAUUGGACGCAGAAUUUAUCAAUGUAUCAGUUGCAAGUUAUGGCUAAAUUCCAAAAUCCUGAAGAAAGUCAUGGUCAUUUAGGUCAUUUUUUAAAGGUUCUAAAGGUAUUUCAAUCAUAUUUUAGGUUUAGAGGGUAUUUCAAUCAUUUUUUAGGUUUUGGGGUCAUUUUUUAGAUUUUAAGGAUAUCCCUGUAAUUUUUGAAAGCUUUGGGGUUAUAUUGGUCAUUUUCAAGUGUUGGGAUGCGUUUUGGUAAUUUUAAUAUAUUUAUGGGUAUUUCGAAAA